GAGGUAAUGAGACCACAGAGAAGACAUGGUCCUCAUUGUAAUGACCUUUAAAGUAUUUGAGCAUAUUCAACUUCUGUUUCUUUAUUCCUGCCUCUCCAUGUGCCAGGACAAGGCUUUAAACAGCAGUGAGUCUGCAUCUGAAGUGAUGCUUAUGCCUAACAGGCCCGUGACACUCUGUUCAUACACAAGGCCUCUUCUGCAGUGCUGCGACACCACAAAAAGCACGGAGAUGCCCAUGCCAGUAAGAAGCAUGCUGGUGAGGGCAGAUAUUCCCCAGCUUUAUGGCCAGCUCUAAUAUGUUCAUCAUUUAUUAUGAGAGGAACUUGUCAGCAUGAGGGUGGUUCAACAGAUGUAGCAUAGAAAUGCUAUUUUGAAGAAAGGACUUCUAAUGGAAAUGGAAUGCAUAAAAGAACUAUUGGAGACCUUUGGAAAAAAAAGUGUUUUUCUUGUUUCUUGUACUAGCAGAAUGUCAUGAUUUAAAGCUGUGCCAGAAGAUCAGUGAGGAAGGAAUUGGUGCUUGCAGAGGUGUACGUUAACAUUUGGAGAGAUCCAGAUUUUAAAUUGUUAAUUCAUAUUUGCUUGAUUUGUAUUUAAGAAUAAUCCAAAGUAUAAAAUCUGUGAUAGCCAAAAUACAAAGGGGGAAUGGAAAGAGCUAAGAGUCUUAAAAUUCUCUGGGCAUUGUCUUUGUUGUUUGUGUUGAAAGGGCAGAUGCUGAGUGUAGUUUUUGCCUUAUUUUAACACCUGAGCCAAGAUGAAGGCAAGGAAGUGCUGAUGCACGUCUGUGUACGUCUCUCUGUGUCACCAUAACAGCUUAAGAAACUGCUUCGACUUAUGCGAAAAAGGGAGAAAAAAUCUACAGGAUACUCAAAAAAAAAAAAAAAAGGCAAAAUUAAAUAUAACAAAUAAUGUUAUUUGGGGUUUAAAGCAUUGUAGACUUUUUGACUGUGUCCAGGGAAACAUUUCCUCUAGAAAUCUAAGAAUUGAAGAUUUUUCAAAGACCUUGAAAUUCUGCAGGAAAAUAUUUCUUUUAUAUGGAGGAAAAAAGGACAUUUCCAGUCUAUAUCAGGAAUGCCUACAGUGUUUUCCUACAAAACAUGAUGUCUGUAUGAUGACCAAGAAUGAUAACAGAUUUUAAUAGCAGUUGUUCUUUGACUUCUGUUGCUUUAGACUUCAUUUUUUUUUAAAUGUGCUGUUGCACUUCAGAAAUAUUUAAUAACAGUGACUAACUUAAGGUCUAGUUAAAUGGCAAUUGACGAAUAGCAACUUUAAAUUAUAAUUUACUAAUUUGCCAGAGAUAUGAUCCUGGGGCCUCUUUAGAAUCAGUUGGUACCUGCUGUAUUUUUGAUUAAAAUAUCUGAUGCUAAAUAUUGUGUUUGUGACCAACCAGAAAUUAGUCCUAAUUCAUAGGUUAAAGACAGAAUUUUUAAAGACUAAUUCUGAAAAUGAGUUGGAUGAGUAAUACUUGUAAACUCUCUUUAGUGUGCGGCAUUGUCCAGCUUGUUUGUUCUUAUUCAUUAGCAUUGCUGGUAUCAAGUGUAGUAACUGAAGGAGUAAAACUUGCUUUGCUUCAUUUAAAAUCUGAAAAAUCCUGCAAGUCUUGGAAAGAUACACAGAUAUUUUUAUAUAUUUAAAUAUUUUUAAUUUUAGCCUAAGCAGUAAUAGGUAGUAUAAUGCUUGCUAUCUAGAUUUAGAAUCCUUGCAAAUAUUUAUGUACAUAAAAUUGCUCAAUUGUAUAGGUCAGUGUUCAAGGUUAAGCUUGCUUUAUAUAUAAUGUUCUUUCUCCAAUAUACUGGCAUGAACUUCAGGCUAGUGCUGUGGUAAGAAGGAAUAAUUUGCUCUGAUGCAAGUAAACAAAAACAAUUAGAAGACAUUUAUCUCCGUACACAGCGUAGUUUUGAACAGCCACAUUUCUAAGAAGGAAAAAUAAAUUGGAAAGAGUACCAGGAAAAAAAAAAAAAACUGCUAAAUUGAUUUGAGGGCUGGAAAAAAAUACCUUGCAAUAUGAAGCUUAGGACUCAGUAAGUAUUGGUUUAGCAUAAAGACUGGGAUAUAACUUGAUUACAGUACUUACUGUUGCUGGGCAAAAAUACUGAGAAAAUUACAGUACAUGAGUAACUUAUAACAGGAAGCAAUAGCUGGAAGCUGAAAUCAGAUAAAUUUGUGUUGAAGGUAGUAAUGAUAAUCUCACUAUGUGGAGAAAUCUGGGGUUGGCCCUAAGAGAUGUGCAGAAAAAAAACUGUCACACAGCAUCUGGAUGCAACAAAGUCAGCAUCAGUAGCAAGUUUUUUGAAAAUUACAUUUUGAGAAACAUUCUGGCUUUCUUGUGCUGUUUGUGUAGAAGUCGUGGAGAAAAAGGGAGGAGAAAAAAACAAAACAAAACACAAAACAAAAAAAUAUAAUGGAGGAGAAAAUGUUCUGGGAAGAUAUCAAAAAUGUAGGACAAAAACAUUUCAUGUGGCAAGGGCUCAGAUAUGUCUUUUCUGGAAAAAAAAAAAAAGUGGAAACAUUUUGCUGAUUUCUUUGCUGAAUGCCAGGGUUGAAAUAACACUUCAAAAACAAGUAUUUUUUUAAAUAAAAAUUAAAAAAAAUAAUCACGGCACUUUAGUUUUGAAAUAAAACUGGCUGCAACAGUC